GUUCUCUCAAGAUAGCCAUGCAUGUCUAAGUAUAAGCAAUUAUACCGUGAACUGCGAAUGGCUCAUUAAAUCAGUAUCGUUAUUUGAUAAUACCUACUACUUGGAUAACCGUGGUAAUUCUAGAGCUAAUACAUGCUGAAAAUCCCGACUUCGGAAGGGAUGUGUUUAUUAGAUAAAAAACCAAUGCCCUUUCGGGGCUUUUUGGUGAUUCAUGAUAACUUUACGGAUCGCAUAGCCUUGCGCUGGCGACGGUUCAUUCAAAUUUCUGCCCUAUCAACUUUCGAUGGUAAGGUAUUGGCUUACCAUGGUUUCAACGGGUAACGGGGAAUUAGGGUUCGAUUCCGGAGAGGGAGCCUGAGAAACGGCUACCACAUCCAAGGAAGGCAGCAGGCGCGCAAAUUACCCAAUCCCGACACGGGGAGGUAGUGACAAUAAAUACUGAUACAGGGCUCUUUUGGGUCUUGUAAUUGGAAUGAGUACAAUUUAAACCUCUUAACGAGGAACAAUUGGAGGGCAAGUCUGGUGCCAGCAGCCGCGGUAAUUCCAGCUCCAAUAGCGUAUAUUAAAGUUGUUGCAGUUAAAAAGCUCGUAGUUGAAACUUGGGCCUGGCUGGCGGGUCCGCCUCACCGCGUGCACUCGUCCGGCCGGGCCUUCCUUCUGAAGAACCUCAUGCCCUUCACUGGGCGUGCUGGGGAAUCAGGACUUUUACUUUGAAAAAAUUAGAGUGUUCAAAGCAGGCCUUUGCUCGAAUACGUUAGCAUGGAAUAAUAAAAUAGGGCGUGCGUUUCUAUUUUGUUGGUUUCUAGAGACGCCGCAAUGAUUAACAGGAACAGUCGGGGGCAUCAGUAUUCAGUUGUCAGAGGUGAAAUUCUUGGAUUUACUGAAGACUAACUACUGCGAAAGCAUUUGCCAAGGAUGUUUUCAUUAAUCAGUGAACGAAAGUUAGGGGAUCGAAGACGAUCAGAUACCGUCGUAGUCUUAACCGUAAACUAUGCCGACUAGGGAUCGGGCGAUGUUCUUUUUCUGACUCGCUCGGCACCUUACGAGAAAUCAAAGUUUUGGGUUCUGGGGGGAUAUUCGAG
rnacentral:rRNA from 1 species